UACGGAGGAUGCGAGCGUUAUCCGGAUUUAUUGGGUUUAAAGGGAGCGUAGACGGGAUGUUAAGUCAGCGGUAAAAGACUGCAGCUAAACUGUAGCACGCCGUUGAAACUGGCGCCCUCGAGACGAGACGAGGGAGGCGGAACAAGUGAAGUAGCGGUGAAAUGCUUAGAUAUCACUUGGAACCCCGAUAGCGAAGGCAGCUUCCCAGGCUCGAUCUGACGCUGAUGCGCGAGAGCGUGGGUAGCGAACAGG
rnacentral:rRNA from 1 species